GCCUUCUUGGUGUAAUGGUGAGCACUCUCGACGUGUAUUCGAGAGGUCCGAAGUUCGAAUCCCGGCGACGGCA
rnacentral:tRNA from 1 species